GCAGUAGCCGCGGGAAUGCGUAGGUGGCAAGCGUUGUCCGGAAUUAUUGGGCGUAAAGGGCUCGCAGGCGGUUUCUUAAGUCUGAUGUGAAAGCCCCCGGCUCAACCGGGGAGGGUCAUUGGAAACUGGGAAACUUGAGUGCAGAAGAGGAGAGUGGAAUUCCACGUGUAGCGGUGAAAUGCGUAGAGAUGUGGAGGAACACCAGUGGCGAAGGCGACUCUCUGGUCUGUAACUGACGCUGAGGAGCGAAAGCGUGGGGAGCGAACAGGAUUAGAUACCCGAGUAGUCCCUGUCUCUUAUAC
rnacentral:rRNA from 1 species